GAUGAACGCUGGCGGUAUGCUUAACACAUGCAAGUCGAACGGACUCUUCGGAGUUAGUGGCGGACGGGUGAGUAACGCGUGAGAAUCUGGCUUUGGGUUCGGGACAACCACUGGAAACGGUGGCUAAUACCGGAUGUGCCGAGAGGUAAAAGAGAAAUUGCCUGAAGAUGAGCUCGCGUCUGAUUAGCUAGUUGGUGAGGUAAAGGCUCACCAAGGCAGCGAUCAGUAGCUGGUCUGAGAGGAUGACCAGCCACACUGGGACUGAGACACGGCCCAGACUCCUGCGGGAGGCAGCAGUGGGGAAUUGUCCGCAAUGGGCGAAAGCCUGACGGAGCAAUACCGCGUGAGGGAAGAAGGCUCUUGGGUUGUAAACCUCUUUUCUUAGGGAAGAACAAAAUGACGGUACCUAAGGAAUCAGCAUCGGCUAACUCCGUG
rnacentral:rRNA from 1 species